CACUGAUUUACUCUCUACAGCUCCAUGAGACAGAGCACUACGGAAGGGAGCCCCAUUCCCAAGCAUGGUGUCCAAUACACUGAAAGAAUAACUGGGCUCAGUAAUGCACCUAGAGACUCAGAUUCCAGACCUGCCCACUUGCUUUACUAUCCAAAACAACCAUGACACAUGACUUCUCUGGCGGGGUGUUGGCCAAGACAAACUGAACUAUAGAAGAUCCUUGACUUGCCAACGUUCAAAUGAUGAACUUUCAAAAAUAGCGAAACUGGCUGCAGAGCAAAAGCUUUUCAGCUCUGCACAACACCAACAGAUGGCGCUAAGUGUCACCCUUGUGGAGAGCAGAGGGACCUCGGAAGGGCCUUUGGAAAUCUAAUCUGGUUUUGAGUUCUUGGUGGGAAAAUGCACCUUUAAGUUGGGGGAGUUUGAAGACGUUGCCAAGACACGUGCUGCAGCAUUUGAUCUUUUCUGCCGCACUGGCUUCUGCAAUUAACAUGCUUUCACCAGUGAAACUCAGGUUGCGGGGAGAGCAUUCUUCCAGGUUCAUGCCUGUUGUCAUGGAGUAAUUAUAAUUCAUGUCUCCGUUCACAGUGUCCUGGUUUGUAGAAUAAAAU
rnacentral:lncRNA from 10 species